CGAAGGGGGCUAGCGUUGCUCGGAAUUACUGGGCGUAAAGGGCGCGUAGGCGGACAGUUUAGUCAGAGGUGAAAGCCCAGGGCUCAACCUUGGGAUUGCCUUUGAUACUGGCUGUCUUGAGUACGGGAGAGGUGUGUGGAACUCCGAGUGUAGAGGUGAAAUUCGUAGAUAUUCGGAAGAACACCAGUGGCGAAGGCGACACACUGGCCCGUUACUGACGCUGAGGCGCGAAAGCGUGGGGAGCAAACAGGAUUAGAUACCCUGGUAGUCCACGCCGUAAACGAUGAGUGCUAGUUGUCGGCAUGCAUGCAUGUCGGUGACGCAGCUAACGCAUUAAGCACUCCGCCUGGGGAGUACGGUCGCAAGAUUA
rnacentral:rRNA from 1 species